CCCUUAGAUGUUCUGGGCCGCACGCGCGCUACACUGAUACAUGCAACGAGUUUAUAACCUUGAUCUGACGGUCUGGGUAAUCUUCAAACUGUAUCGUGUUAGGGAUCGAUUCUUGCAAUUUUUAAUCGUAAACGAGGAAUCCCUAGUAAACGCAAGUCAUCAGCUUGCAUUGAUUACGUCCCUGCCCUUUGUACACACCGCCCGUCGACUCUACCGAUUGAAUGGUUCGGUGAAAACUUUGGACUGUGGCAUUGUCCUUCAUUGGACUUCGCCGUAGGAAAUUGUUUAAACCUCAUCAUUUAGAGGAAGAAUAAGUCGUAACA
rnacentral:rRNA from 1 species